rnacentral:tRNA from 1 species
GCCUGGGUGGCUCAGUCGGUUGAGCAACUGACUUGGGCUCAGGUCAUGACCUCACAGUUUGUGAGUUCGAGCCCCAUGCCAGGCU